ensembl:miRNA oar-mir-495 oar-mir-495
GCACAUCCGUGCCCAUCAGGGCUGACCGCUGGUACCUGAGAAGAAGUCGCCCAUGUUCUUUUCGCUUGAUUUGUGUCGAAACAAACAUGGUGCACUUCUUUUUCGGUGUCAAAUCUCAGCGCGGGG